rnacentral:rRNA from 1 species
UACGUAGGGGGCAAGCGUUGUCCGGAUUUAUUGGGCGUAAAGCGCUCGCAGGCGGUUUGCUACGUCAUGCGUGAAACACCCCGGCUCAACUGGGGAGGGUCGUGUGAUACGGGCAGGCUUGAGGCCAGUAGGGGGAUGCGGAAUUCCGGGUGUAGUGGUGGAAUGCGUAGAGAUCCGGAGGAACACCAGCGGCGAAGGCGGCAUCCUGGACUGGUACUGACGCUCAUGAGCGAAAGCGUGGGGAGCGAUCAGG